AAGCCACAAGGUAUUUGCCAGGGUUAUCUUCAUCAGGCUCAAUCCUUAGAGUCUCCUUCUUCAAAUUAACAUCAUUUCUUAUUGUCACAGCUUUUUGAUGCUCCACAUAUGGAGCAGGCGGAGGCAUCAUAGGUCCACAUGGGUACCGACCCGGCCCGUUAACCCAAUUAGCAUGACCCGGGUGAUUGUCCAUCCUAUGAUGAUGAUCAUAUGGAGCCGGUAACGGCACCGGCAUCGCCGGCGGCGGUGGCGGAUAGUAACCCGGGUAUUGAUAAUACGGCGGAGCAUUAGGGUUUGGGUAUUGUGCAGGAUAAGGCGUUGCCGCCGCGAACACGUAACGGUUCGCGCUUAUCUCCGGCUGCGGCGGUUGUGGUGGCGGUGGCGGUGGUGGGUGGCUCCUCCGG
rnacentral:lncRNA from 1 species